AGCUUGAUGCUUGUCUCAAAGAUUAAGCCAUGCAUGUCUAUGUACAUACUUUCGUAUGGUGAAACCGCGAAUGGCUCAUUAAAUCAGUUAUGGUUUAUUAGAUUGAUAUUAUGUGGAUAACUGUGGCAAUUCUAGAGCUAAUACAUGCAAUAAAACUCUGACCGUAAGGAAAGAGUGCUUUUAUUAGAUUAAAACCAAUCAAACCUAUGGUUUGAAACUAUGGUGACUCUUGAAAACAUAGUGGAUCGCAUAGCCUUGUGCUAGCGACGUAUCUUAUAAAUGUCUGCCCUAUCAACUUGUGAUGGUAAGUGAUAUGCCUACCAUGGUUAUAACGGGUAACGGAGAAUCAGGGUUUGAUUCCGGAGAGGGAGCAUGAGAAACGGCUACCACAUCCAAGGAAGGCAGCAGGCGCGCAAAUUACCCACUCCCGGAACGGGGAGGUAGUGACGAAAAAUACCAUUACGAGCCUUUGUUAGGGCCUCGUAAUUGGAAUGAGACCAUUUUAAAUCCUUUAUCAGGGAUCCAUUGGAGGGCCAGUCUGGUUGCCAGCAGCCGCGGUAAUUCCAGCUCCAAUAGCGUAUACUAAAGUUGUUGCGUUUAAACAGCUCGUAGUUGGAUCUCGGGUACAAUACUGUGGUCUUCCUUAUGGUUGUACUGCAGUAUUACCCUGUUAGCUAGUUGUUUCUCAAUGCUCUUAAUUGAGUGUUGUGAAAUACUAGUACAUUUACUUUGAAAAAAUUAGAGUGCUCAGAGCAAGCAUUGUGCUCGAAUAGCGUUGCAUGGAAUAAUAGAAUAGGACCUCGGUUCUAUUUUGUUGGUUUUCGGAACAGAGGUAAUGAUUAAGAGGGACAGACGGGGACAUUCGUAUUCCGCCGUUAGAGGUGAAAUUCUUGGAUCGGCGGAAGACGAACUACGGCGAAAGCAUUUGUCAAGAAUGUAUUCAUUGAUCAAGAACGAAAGUCAGAGGUUCGAAGGCGAUCAGAUACCGCCCUAGUUCUGACCAUAAACGAUGCCAACUGGCGAUCUGUCAUAGUUACUUUAAUGACUUGACAGGCAGCUUUCGGGAAACCAAAGUGUUUGGGCGAACGGGGGGAGUAUGGCUGCAAAGCUGAAACUUAAAGGAAUUGACGGAAGGGCACCACCAGGAGUGGAGCCUGCGGCUUAAUUUGACUCAACACGGGAAAUCUCACCCGGCCCGGACACUGUAAGGAUUGACAGAUUGAGAGCUCUUUCUUGAUUCAGUGGGUGGUGGUGCAUGGCCGUUCUUAGUUGGUGGAGUGAUUUGUCUGGUUAAUUCCGAUAACGAACGAGACUCUAGUCUAUUAAAUAGCACACUUAUAUCAUAGUGAGCUUUGCUUCUUAAAGGGACUGGUGACGAUUAGUCACACGAGAUAGAGCAAUAACAGGUCUGUGAUGCCCUUAGAUGUUCGGGGCCGCACGCGCGCUACACUGAAAGAAUCAACAGGCUUUUCCUGACCAGGAAUGGUUGGGUAAACCUUUGAAAAUCUUUCGUGAUUGGGAUUGGGGCUUGAAAUUAUCCCCCAUUAACGAGGAAUUCCUAGUAGAUGUGAAUCAUUAGUUUGCAUCGAUUAUGUCCCUGCCCUUUGUACACACCGCCCGUCGCUAUUACGGACUGAACUUUCUGUGGAAAACACCGGAUUGACUUGUUAUGAUCGAAAGAUCGUAGCUUUAGUUGAAAAGAUGUUAACACUGAAUGUUUGAACGAAAUAAAAGUCGUAACAAGUUUC
rnacentral:rRNA from 1 species